rnacentral:rRNA from 1 species
CUAGUCGUGUGUCUCCAAGCCACGAUGGAGACGCGGCGCACAGCUCAGUAACACGUGGCCAACCUACCCUUGGGACGGAAACAACCCCGGGAAACUGGGGCUAAUUUCCGAUAGGUGAAGACUCCUGGAAUGGAUCUUCGCCCAAAAGACGCUUAGAUCAUGCUUCUAGGCGUUGCCCAAGGAUGGAGCCGCGGCCGAUCAGGUUGUUGGUGAGGUAACGGCUCACCAAGCCUUUAACCGGUUCGGGCUGUGGGAGCGGUAGCCCGGAGAUGGGUACUGAGACAAGGACCCAGGCCCUACGGGGCGCAGCAGUUACGAAAAUUUCGCAAUACGCGAAAGCGUGACGGAGCUAUCCCGAGUGCCGUCCGCUGAGGAUGGCUUUUCCCCAGUGUAGAUAGCUGGGGGAAUAAGGAGAGGGCAAGUCUGGUGUCAGCCGCCGCGGUAAUACCAGCUCUCCGAGUGGUGGGGACGUUUAUUGGGCCUGAAGCAUCCGUAGCUGGCUGAGCAAGUCCUCCGUUAAAUCCAGCGAUUUAAUCGUUGAUCUGCGGGGGAUACUGUUCGGCUAGGGGGCGGGAGAGGCCGACGGUAUUCUCGGGGUAGGGGUGAAAUCCUAUAAUCCCGGGAAGACCACCAGUGGCGAAGGCUGUCGGCUAGAACGCGCCCGACGGUGAGGGAUGAAAGCUGGGGGAGCGAACCGGAUUAGAUACCCGGGUAGUCCCAGCUGUAAACGAUGCAGGCUAGGUGUUAGAGCGGCCACGUGCCGCUCUAGUGCCGCA